rnacentral:misc_RNA from 1 species
GUGUCUCCGGGGUUGUCGAGAGAAAUCGCACGGAUUGAAGCUCGCGCGAACUGGCAGCCGAGCGCUCUCGUGCCUUAACAGUUCUCUAUCGAAAAAACAAUCUCUAUCGAUAAGCAACGACUUCAACACUAUAAUUAGUUUCCUCCCGUUAUCUGGUUACGAUGAGUUUGUUGUCCAGUUCGUUACCAGAGGUCUGAGUCGUGUUAUUGUCACGGGGACUUUGUUGGUAAGAUCAAAAAUUCAAAGGGAUCUUUAGGAGAGGAAAACAAUAACGAAAAUUUCUUGUAAACUCUGGCAGCCCUGGUCCGCACUUUUUUUUCGAGACGCGACACGUUUGUUGAACCUCACACCUUUUUUGUAAACUGCCUACGGGAUGUAAAACUCGUUCUGUGUGCCGAGGUAUCGUGAAAUGUUUAAAUAUGUACAUUCUCGAAUCCAAUGAUGACGCAUUGUAUUGCCUGAGAUUAGGGAUAGAAUUUAUUGCGGAUAUUGCUGCAGGCAUAGCAUAGACAGUCUGUAUACCUAACGAAGAUUCUCAUUACAUCGUGCGAAAGGCUAUGUCAACGCGAAAAUACAUAGAAGCAAUUCGCUCUUGAAUACACACUGUCGCUCCAGCUGAGAGAUAUCUCUUCAAAGAGUCCCUCGAGACAAAUGCUUAAUCGAGAUCUUUAUUUCGGAGUAGGAAGUAUUUUUAAAGACGCGGUUGAAUCUCUUUUCUUUUAAGCGAAUCAAAGUGUUAAAUUGUCCGCUCACGAAGAGCUUUUUUGUCAGCGAACAUUGUGCGAACAUUUGUGUAAACAUCGUGUGUUUACUUACCUAAGUGCUUGAUAAAUUCGAGAGAGCACCUGGCUAAAAUAUGCCAUCAUUCCCACCAGAUAACUCGGGAGGGAUCGGUGUUGAGUUGCUUGCGCGCUUGAUUGAAAUCAGUGAAAAUCUCUGAUUGCCCGGCACCAGAAUGACGUCCGAGGUUUAUCGAAAAAUCUUUAGUUAUCUGAGAACGAGAUCUUGGCUCUGCAAACGUAAAGGUAAAUACACCUGCAAAAAUUACAAGCACAUAACGAUGGAGCACUCCGAGCUGGUGGCGGAGAUGGUGCACGUUGAAAGACUGACCACGCAGGAGCGGUUGCACCUGGCGCGUCAUCGUCGGCUUCAGCAGCUGAAGGUGUGGAGACAGCGCGAGAAGGAAUGGUUGCGGCACCAGACCAGGCACACGAGUAAUAAACGUCACAUAUACUUUAGCGACAGUGUUAUGUUAUUGGAAGCCGCUGCGAGAAAUGACAUCGACGAGGUAAGAAGGCUUUUGAAGAAGGGUGUGAAUCCUGACUCGACGAAUGAGGACGGUCUGACGGCACUACAUCAGUGUUGCAUAGAUGAUAAUGAAGAAAUGAUGAAGCUACUCAUUGAAUUCGGUGCUAACGUAAAUGCGGAGGAUAGCGAGAAGUGGACGCCGCUACACGCCGCUGCUACGUGCGGGCACUUGCAUUUAGUCAAAUACCUCAUUGCCAGAGGUGCAAAUUUACUAGCCGUUAAUGCUGAUGGCAACAUGCCGUACGACAUUUGUGAGGACGAGAAAACUCUGGACUGUAUCGAAGGAGAGAUGGCAAGGCGAGGAGUCACUCAAGAAUUAAUAGACGAAACGAGAGCCUCAACUGAAGUCCAGAUGCUACGCGAUUUGCAAAAAAUUGCUUCCUUAGGAGGUGAUCUUGAAUAUAAAGAUCAUCAAGGUGCCACGCCUCUUCAUAUAGCAGCAGCAAAUGGGUACUUACGAGUUGUAGAAUUUCUUCUUGACCAACAUGUAUCGACAGACGUAGAGGACAAUGACAAGUGGCAACCAGUUCACGCAGCUGCAUGUUGGGGACAUUUGGAAGUACUAGAAUUAUUGGUGCAAAAUGGAGCAGACUUAAACGCAAAAAAUAAGCACGAUGAAACUCCAGCGGAUAUAUGCGAAGAUCCAGAAAUUAGAGAGAGGAUAGUGGAAUUGAAAACUGAACAGGAAAGUAAACGACUUCGCGAAGCGCAAGGACGUAGGGUACGCAGAUCGCAAAGUAUAAACACGCGGACGCAAAGCGUACGUCGAACAUCCAUUCGAGAUAAAGUCCUCACUACGAAAAAAGAUGCCCAAGAAGAAACGCGCUUGAGGUUACAAGCGCAACAGUAUGUUAGCACUCCUACGCCUACUAAUAUUCCGCCGUUGGAGAAUAGUACGCAGGAAGUAGGGGACCACGAGACUGAUUCCGGCGCGCUGACUCCAGCCGUGCGGAAAGGUCCUGAAGGAAAAGACAACGAGUCUUUUCUCCACGAAGAUGUUGAUAAAGAUUCAGCUACGUUGCUUCUGUGAAUCAUUUUCAGUGCGCUGUUAUCGGUGAACUCUACUUGUGGGCAAGAUACAUAAUAAGUUAGAAACGGAAUAGUGACUGAUAAUAGACAUAUAGUGAGAGUCAUGAUGAUACGAACAUCUGCGAUGGCUUAGCGGCCACGAGAGGAAGAUUACAUCAGUCGACUUCCAAUUGAGAACUGAUUUAAUCAACUCUGCAUCGCUCGUCUCUUCUGAUGCAACCACCACGCUUUAUUGAGCCUCAUUUGAGCCACAAUUGAUUUCACCGCGAUAAGAGACACAGAUAUAAUCUGGAAUAUUUCUUAGGAGUCGAUACCUGUAAGAAGUCGCAAUCUUCGAUCAAUGAUAUCUAACAGUUCAGGGAUCAUUGAUGUCAAGGAGUAAUUAUAUUGUGGUUGAAACAUGACAAGUUUUAUGACGUUAUCACAUAUCAAAUAUAACGAAUCUAUGACAAAAAAUGCUUACUUUUCAAAUUAGAAGGACAAGCACUUUCAUAGCCACAUGCUCAUUAAAGGCCCCAGUUCAUCACAUUUAUUUGAUAAAUAAGAUAAUCAUUAGCAAAUUGCUUUGGUACAAAGGAAAACUUAUGACGAUAUGGAACUUAUGACAAUAAUUUAAACAAAAUCUGUCAAGAUAUAAAUUCGAGUGUAUAUUAGUUCGUAUUUCAAUAAACUUCCAAGUCAUACUGAAAA